rnacentral:rRNA from 1 species
UACGUAUGGUGCAAGCGUUAUCCGGAUUUACUGGGUGUAAAGGGAGCGCAGGUGGCACGGCAAGCCUGAUGUGAAAGCCCGCGGCCCAACCGCGGGACUGCAUUGGGAACUACCGGGCUGGAGUGCCGGAGAGGUAGGCGGAAUUCCUAGUGUAGCGGUGAAAUGCGUAGAUAUUAGGAGGAACACCAGUGGCGAAGGCGGCCUACUGGACGGUGACUGACGCUGAGGCUCGAAAGCGUGGGGAGCAAACAGG